GGCCUUAUGGUCUAGUAGCAUGAUUCCUCGUUUGGGCUUUGCCGCCAGGCAAAAACAAUUCGAGGAGGUCCUGGGUUCAACUCCCAGUGAGGCCC